rnacentral:rRNA from 1 species
CCUACGGGAGGCAGCAGUGAGGAAUAUUGGUCAAUGGACGAGAGUCUGAACCAGCCAAGUAGCGUGAAGGAUGACUGCCCUAUGGGUUGUAAACUUCUUUUAUAUGGGAAUAAAACGUUCCACGUGUGGGAUUUUGUAUGUAUCAUAUGAAUAAGGAUCGGCUAACUCCGUGCCAGCAGCCGCGGUAAUACGGAGGAUCCGAGCGUUAUCCGGAUUUAUUGGGUUUAAAGUGAGCGUAGGUGGAUUGUUAAGUCAGUUGUGAAAGUUUGCGGCUCAACCGUAAAAUUGCAGUUGAAACUGGCAGUCUUGAGUACAGUAGAGGUGGGCGGAAUUCGUGGUGUAGCGGUGAAAUGCUUAGAUAUCACGAAGAACUCCGAUUGCGAAGGCAGUUCACUGGACUGCAACUGACACUGAGGCUCGAAAGUGUGGGUAUCAAACAGGAUUAGAUACCCCAGUAGUC